AACGCACAUUGCGCCCCUUGGUAUUCCGGGGGGCAUGCCUGUUCGAGCGUCAUUUCAACCCUCAAGCCUUGCUUGGUCUUGGGCUCUGCCGGCAACGGCUUGCCUUAAACUCAGUGGCGGUGCCAUUCGAGCUCUACGCGUAGUAGUAAAACCCUCGCGAUUGAGUCUUGGUGGAUGCUGGCCAGCAACCCCUCAUUUUCUAUGGUUGACCUCGGAUCAGGUAGGGAUACCCGCUGAACUUAA
rnacentral:misc_RNA from 1 species